GGCAGUUUAGUUUAAUGGUAAAACACUUGAUGCGUAAUCACAGGGAUGUGAGUUCGAGUCUCACGGCUGGCCA
rnacentral:tRNA from 1 species